UUAGGUUUUCCUGGCUCAGGAUGAACGCUGGCGGCGUGCCUAAUACAUGCAAGUCGAGCGAACUGAUUAGAAGCUUGCUUCUAUGACGUUAGCGGCGGACGGGUGAGUAACACGUGGGCAACCUGCCUGUAAGACUGGGAUAACUUCGGGAAACCGAAGCUAAUACCGGAUAGGAUCUUCUCCUUCAUGGGAGAUGAUUGAAAGAUGGUUUCGGCUAUCACUUACAGAUGGGCCCGCGGUGCAUUAGCUAGUUGGUGAGGUAACGGCUCACCAAGGCAACGAUGCAUAGCCGACCUGAGAGGGUGAUCGGCCACACUGGGACUGAGACACGGCCCAGACUCCUACGGGAGGCAGCAGUAGGGAAUCUUCCGCAAUGGACGAAAGUCUGACGGAGCAACGCCGCGUGAGUGAUGAAGGCUUUCGGGUCGUAAAACUCUGUUGUUAGGGAAGAACAAGUACGAGAGUAACUGCUCGUACCUUGACGGUACCUAACCAGAAAGCCACGGCUAACUACGUGCCAGCAGCCGCGGUAAUACGUAGGUGGCAAGCGUUAUCCGGAAUUAUUGGGCGUAAAGCGCGCGCAGGCGGUUUCUUAAGUCUGAUGUGAAAGCCCACGGCUCAACCGUGGAGGGUCAUUGGAAACUGGGGAACUUGAGUGCAGAAGAGAAAAGCGGAAUUCCACGUGUAGCGGUGAAAUGCGUAGAGAUGUGGAGGAACACCAGUGGCGAAGGCGGCUUUGGUCUGUAACGACGCGGCGCAAAGCGACU
rnacentral:rRNA from 2 species